AAUCAGUAUCCUGGGCGAUGGUGUCUACAGCCAAGUCCAGAUAAAUAAUGCUAUCAGGGACUCUGCACCAGACCGCCCCAGCUGGGUGCCCGCCCCUGUAUGAACUCGGCUGGGGCUAAGGGAUUCCCAUGGAGUCAUAACUAUAAACCCACACUCGGAGCCUCCAAGAUCCCUCAGGCUCCACAAGAGAAAGAAACUAGGUCAUCAGGAUCCACCCCAAGGAUGGUUAUCUAGAGAAGACUGCUGAUGGUGCCUACGUUUUUUUAAUGAACAUUUGUUUUUUGACAAGUGAAACCAACUCAGUGUAGAGCCUGGGCAGGUCAAUUCACUUUUCUAGGCUUCAGUUUUUUUAUAUAUAUAUGUAAAACAAGAGGGUUGGGGUAGAUCUACAUUGACUAGAACUAGGUAUUCAUGUACUUCCCAUCUUAGAAACUUUCUGAUGUUUAAUUCAGGUACCAAAGCAAAACCAGAUUGACUCUUCCCAUUCACGAAGUACUCCUGACCUACAGGUGAACUGAUGUACUGAUGGGAGCAGAGUCCACUGGGGAGUUUUGCUUCUAGAGCAUGGCGCUUCCUGAGCCUUAGAACCAAACCUUUGGAGCCAAAAAAAAUCAGGACUUGGAGAGCCUUUGGGAAGGGACACCCCAGUAUACAGGCCCAAGAGCUCACUCCACAUGUGCUGUGUAUUAUCAGUGAUGGACAUGGUGGGAAAUCAGACCCUCAAACAGACCAGGUGGGCUCUUGUUUGCAGAGAUGCAGGUUGGGAAGGGCCAGCUUCACUCCUUCUAUUUCGACAUCUUUUAAAACUAGCUUUAUAUGAAAAAAAAAAAAAUUUCCCUGGGGGAAAGACAUGCACACCUUCUGUAACAAGGAAAAUAACAACAAUAGUCAUAAUAAUGAGAAAAGCAAAAUAAGCACAUGUAAGUGCAUUUUUCUUUCUUAGAGAUUUAUUUUUGUUUGAUGAAUCGGACACUGUGUCAGGGAGCGAGGAGAACGUUGGGGGCCCCCCGCAGGGAAAGGGAUGCCCAGAGGUGGGGCUGCUGCGUCCUGCAUGGGCGGGUUUGGUGUUGGGGUCGGUUGGUUGGUUGGUUUAAUCGGUGGCUGGAAGUUUUCCUUUUGUUCACUUUUAUAAAUCUCUCCCUGGGCUUGCGAGCUUCCCCUCCCUCCCACCCCCUUCCCCUGCCCCCCCACAUUUCAUUUUUAAAAAGCGAGCUCGCUCGCCAGGUGUGUCCCCCCAAGCUCUCACAGCUCUAAUAAAUAAGGAGCACCUGUAAGACAGUAGCUUGACUUGUUAAGUGACUCUGUACAAAGGAGGAUAUAGAAAUACAGUAUGUACACCGCAUCCACGGCCCCGUGGUGCUUCAGGGCCAGCGUGACACCGUCCUGGCCUCGCCCGCCCCCUCCUGCUGCCAGCUCGGCGGCCUGUGGGCAGGGGCACCUGGACCCCUCCAGAGGGAACAAUUGCUUUAUUGGAGUUAGUAAACAGAUACACUGAAUCACAAGGUGAUUUGAUUUUUUUUCUUUUUUUUUUGUUUUCUUCUUUUUUUUUUUUUUUUCCUUAUUUUUUCUUUUUUUUCUGUACUCAUCAGAAUGGGAUACUCCACAACUGUCUCACCAACUCAGUGCCAGUACACAUGCUCUAGAGGACUUCUGGACUCCCAGCUACAACUGUACAAGUGCACACAAGAAAAUCUACCCUGUUAUCCUCCACCCACUGAUUGAGGAUCGAAUUGCACAUUUCUCUUAACCAUGACAGGAGAAAGCAAACAGUGAAACAGAAUCAUGGGUGAGCUUUCUCACUUUCCCUCCUGUUUUCAUUGGUUUGUCCAUACCAUUCUAAUUAUCAUGAAAGGGCUCUGCGUAUAGAGAGAUUGCUUCACUGACUUCCUGGAUCACCGAAAACCAUCAGGGUUGAAAUUUCAUCCAAGUCUUUCGUGACGCCCAGCAAAUAUUCCCCCUCGGAUUAUUUUACACCUUCAGGGCAUUUUGGUCUUCAGUUCAACACUCUUGCUCUGUUCCCAAAUGGGGCGCUAUUUAGGGGAAUUUAAAGAGAAAGCUGAGAAGAAUAAACAUUUACCGAGUUCUCUUGGCAUUCAGUCUCUGAAAAACCACAGUAUAAACUAUUCAUGCUGCUUCUUACAUCUGUCAAAUCGAAAAUUAAAAGCCAUAAAAGUGUAACACUGAAAAUAUGGCAUUAAAAAGGAUAAAGGUGGCCUUUGUAAAAAUAACAAGAAAAGUAUAUUAGCCAAUAAAAUAUUCUAACUCUUCAUUUAAAAGUGCAUCCUGGGCAGGACAGAGAUGAANNNNNNNNNNNNNNNNNNNNNNNNNNNNNNNNNNNNNNNNNNNNNNNNNNNNNNNNNNNNNNNNNNNNNNNNNNNNNNNNNNNNNNNNNNNNNNNNNNNUUCAUUUAAAAGUGCAUCCUGGGCAGGACAGAGAUGAAUCUGGAAGCGUUGGGACUCCAGUACGAUCCCUCUCCGCCGUCAAAACGUGAACAGUAUAGGUCCAAAACCGUACAAUGCAAAUCACAACUCUUCGUGUAGCAGCAAAACCACAGCAGUUUUUAAAAAGAUUAAAAAAAGAUUUUUGUUUUCAAAUUCGGAUCGUCUUCCAGCCUCACCCUCUGAGCCUUGGAAGAUGGGGCGGGGAGAAUACCUACAUUGGUCCUUGUGGCUUGUUGGUGUUUUGUUGUUGGUUUUUUUUUUUUUUUU
rnacentral:lncRNA from 1 species